AUGGUGCACUACCCUCCGCUGGCCCAGGUGCGCUUCCCAGGGGAGGUCCUCACGCAUGGGGACCCAGAUCUGCGGCCGGAGCGCGGUGGCGGAAUCAUCUCCCGCACCCCGGGUAUGGAUGCGCUGGAGGCGGACUUUCGCAGCCGGGCGCUGCUGGCCACGGUGGGGGGCCGGCGGCCGCCCAUCUCUCCGGAGGCCCUGGUCCAAUCCCUCGCCCGGAUCUGCGGCGUGGAGCGCCGGCAUGUCCGGGUGGAGGUCUCUCAUCCGGCGGAUUUCUUCAUCACUUUUGCCUCCACUUCGGACUGUGAUAGGGUCUUCCUCGACUCCGGCAAGCUGCGCUGCAAGGGGGCGCCUAUCGCGUUCCAGCGUUGGCACCGGAGCGCGCUUGCCUCCAGUGGCUCUAUGGAGUUCUUUUGCCGGCUGGGGAUUGAGGGGCUGCCGGCGAAUGCGUGGGAGUGGGGCGCCAUCAGCCAGCUGCUCAACAAUCUCAAUGGCCAGCUGGUUGAAAUCCUUCCGCCGGAUGACCGGUGGCAACUCCAGGUCACUGCCUGGUUGAAGAAUCUGUCGGCGGUCCCGAAGAUCUAUGAUUUGGAGAUUCCGGAGCCGGUGGGCUUACUGGCCUCCUUCGAAGAAGACAACCCGGCAUCUCCUCCUCUCCCUGCCCCGCCGACUGAGAGGAUCACGCUCAUCCACCCGCUCACCAUCCAUGUCAUCGAUGUGGUGGAUCGUACUGUCCCAUACUUGGAGCUGCGCCCCAAUUUCCAACCAGAUGACGACGAGGAUCUCACAAGGCGGCACGACUAUUCGAGAAGCUGCUACUGGGGCAGGAUUGAUGGUACCGGAAGGGGAAAUGUGCCCAACUCCGGUGGGCAUCCGUUCGGCGGGCCUGGUGGCUAUGGCAUGGCAGGCGACUGGGGAGGUGGCCCCAGGGUCAUGGGUGUCCUGGCGCCGGCAGGGGGAAUGGCGAUACCCGCGCGCCUCCUUGCUCCGGGGUCUGCUCAUCCUCGGGAAGCUCCGGUCCAGGCGACGCGCUCGACGCUGAUGACGGCCUCUGGGAGGCCUGGCUCGUGGUCCUCUUCGGCGGCCACAGCAGGUGCGCACGCUGGCUUGCCGGCUGGGAAUGUGGCUGGGAGUCCAGUCACCGGGUCGCCCCUGGCCGCUGUGCGCUCUUGUGGUUCUCUGGCAUCAACUGCUGUUGGCUCGAGGGCCCUGGCAGACACGCCCUUGCUGCUCGGCUCCGAGGCUUCCACUGCAGUUGGAUCUAAGGCACUUGGAAGCACGCCUCCCGUUCGGAAUUCCGCGCUCUGGGGCACACCGCCGCAUCGAAGGCUGUCCUUUAGCCCGACGUCUCAAAUGCAGGCGGGGAAAGGCACUCAGGAGAUGGCGGGGAUGAUACACGCUGACCAGGCUGGGGAAGAGGAGGUGGAGGUUCAGGGAUGCCUGGGGCACCCACAAGCUCACCAAGAGGACAACACCGACUUGCUCCAGGAGGUGGGCUUAUCCGUGCGGGUAGCGCUGACUCGCAGUGCCAGCUCCAGCCCAAUCCAGACCCCCUUCGUCGUUCCUCUGCCUCAGCACAUGCUGCUGCCGCCGGCAUCGGCUAGGGUUGGAACGGGCACUAUGCAGGGGCCUAUGACGGCAUCAGAGACACUGAGGCUCGGCCUGGUGGCGCCCCCGGCGCCGUCCAUUCUUGGCCCCAGGCCGGCGGCGUCGGCCCCUGUCAAGCACAGGAAGGCCCUCCCGCCCAAUUUUACGCCCAGGAGGAGCGCUAGGCUGUGCAAAAAUGCACCAGCCCACAACACGGGGCCUGUGCAGCGGGCGCAAUCGGUGCUCCUGAAGCGGAUGGGGGUGAUUCAGGCUGAAGAACAGGUCUCUUCAGAAGCUCUGGACGAGUACCUCAAGCUGUUCGACAAGCCGCUUGCUCCACACCACGUCAAGGCAAUCACCACGAUCUUCGCUCCCGGGAAGAAAGAGGAGUUCAUGAUAUCGGCACAAGUUCUUUCUCUAGCAGAGGGCAAAGAGUGGUUGGUUUCUUCGGUGUAUGGGCCGCAAGAAGACACAGACAAAGCAAGAUUCCUUGAGGCAAUUGUGCAGUUUGGAGACCGCGUGAGCUUGCCGUGGAUCCUGAAGGGAGAUUUCAACAUUGUGUGCAACCCAGAGGAGCGCAGCACUGGGAGAGUAAACAGGAGGCUGAUGAAUAAGCUUCGGCACACGAUCAACAGGUUGGGGCUCCACGACAUGCCUCUGAUUGGGCGUCGCUUCUAUUGGUGCAAUCAACAGGAGAACGCCAUCUUGGCAAGGCUGGACCGUGUGCUCUUCAACAAUGCAUGGGAGGACUUGUACCCCAUCAGUGAUUUGCUUCCGCUUAGCUCCAGUAUCUCAGAUCACACCCCUCUGCUGCUCACCUGUUCGUCCAUACGACCAAGGGCUUUUCGGUUUCGCUUUGAGAAUUAUUGGUGCAAGCUGCCUGGCUUUUUGGAUGUGGUGAAAGACGCCUGGGCUCCAGAGCUCUUUGGGGAGGCGUCGGGGCUUCGGAUCAAUAUGCACAAGAGCACCAUCACUUGCAUACGAUGUGAUGAGGUGCAGGCUGCAGAGGUAGCUGGACACUUCCAGUGCAGGCAACAGGCCUUUCCUAUCUUAUAUCUCGGUAUACCUCUAUCGAUAUACAGGCUCAAGCGGCACGAGUUGCUGCCCUUGGUUGAUAAGCUCUCGUACAAGAUGAAGGGCUGGAAACCGAAGAUGUUGGCAGUUGCAGGCCGGCUCACGCUCACCUCUUCGGUCCUCAUGGCAGCGCUCCCGCUGCCGGCCUGGGCUAUCAAGACUAUUAAUCGCUGCUGCCGUGGAUUUAUUUGGAAGGGGGAGGAGGAGACUAGUGGUGGCCAUUGCCUUAUGCCUUGGAGCAGGGUGUGCAUGCCGCGGGAGCUCGGAGGUUUGGGUGUUUUGAAUAUCAAAUGGUUUGGGUUCGCGCUGCGCUGCAGAUGGCCUUGGUUACGUUGGAGUGUAGAGGAGCGGCCGUGGCAUGGCCUGCCUGAUACUAUGGAGAAGGAGGUCCACGCAAUCUUCAAUGCAGCCUGCCGCAUCACGCUCGGGUCAGGAGAGGUAGCCAAGUUCUGGACUGAUAAGUGGUUGGAUACCGGCUGCUCAAUUGCUCAAACAGCACCGCAACUCUACUCCUUCGUCAAGGACAGGGGGAGAUCUGUCAAGGAGGCGCUGACCGGGCAGGCUUGGGUACAUGACAUUGCGGGUGGGCUCUCCCUCCCUGCCAUUGCUCAGUACCUCUCGGUCUGGGAUAUUGCACACGCCACUGUGUUAAAUCCUGAGGCGAGAGACACGCCGCGAUGGCUCCUGACGGAAAAUCAGUAG
rnacentral:rRNA from 1 species